UUAGAAAUUUGCCUAUAUAUUAAACCCUAGCAACCCAUUUUCAUUAUCGCAUAGUAGCAGUUAAGUUCCAGGUUCUAAUUGUCCAAAGUAAUAUUGAAUCGCCAUGAAGAUCCUAUCAGUUGUUAUUAUUGCUGUUUUCAUGUUGAUGUUGGCAACGCUGCAAUCUGAUGCAAAAGUUCUCGGAGACCAGGUGGCUGUGACGAGCAAUAAUCGCCAUCUCUUGAGUGAAACGACAUCUCUUGGGCGAAAGGGAAACGCUGGUGUAACUGACAAAGACAAGGACUCCAUUUUAAACAAAGAAGAAACAAGCAACGAGGGUGAAACUGAAACAGACGGAAACAAUGAAGAGAACCAGGCCCAUGGCCGUAAACCUCAAAACGGUCCAGAGACCCACCGCUAUUUUCCGUCGGAAAAUAAUAAUUAUAGACCCAGCCCAAAAAAUUAAGGCUUGUUAAUUAAUUAAGCUUAUUAUGUAUGUGAAUAUACAAAGAGUGUGUCUAGCUUGUAAUAAACUGGAAACUACUCAUCCUGAUCAAAUGUACUGUACUCAGGCAAGUCUGGUUUUAAUGUACUAUAGGCUUUGCAAAGAACUAAGAACUAAUAAUAUUAUAUAUAUAUUGUACCGUUU